rnacentral:misc_RNA from 1 species
AACAAGGUGCAUGUAUCUUCUAUCCACAGUUAAAUGUUCAGUUUCAGUUAAAAAGUUACAUGGAGAAUUAACUGGCAGUGGCAAAUUGUAUUUUAUUGUAAUACUGCUUAUUUAAAAGCUGAAGCUGUUUAGAUUGGAUACCUCUACUAUUUUCUCAAUUCAGAUGUAUUGGCAUAAUGGCGGAUAUGUGGUGACUACUGGGAAGUUGUUGAGUAGUCUGAGAGAGUUAUGUUUCCUAAUGGCUAUGAUCAGAUUGCUGUUUGUAUAAUUUUACUGGUAACUGCUAAAAGUGUUUUGCACUAAUAUUUAUGAAAUUUGGGAAGGCUGGUUUAAUGAUUUCCAUCAUGUUUUGGUUUGAUGAUGUUUGGUAGCUGACGUCAUAAGAGAACUAACAUGGCGGAUUUAUUUGCAAAAUAUAACUGUACAUAUUGCCAGGAAGAUAUCACGGGACUAAGAAUAAAGUGUGCAGAAUGCCCUGAUUUCGAUUUGUGCCUACAGUGCUUCUCUGCUGGAGGAGAGAUUGGUCAGCAUCGAAAUGAUCAUGCCUACCAGUUCAUGGAUUCGGGUGCAAUUGGAGUUGGUCUUGGACGAGGUGGAUGGUCAGCUCGUGAAGAACUGCAUUUAUUGAAUGCCAUUGAACAGUAUGGCUUUGGAAACUGGGAAGAUAUAAGCAGACAUAUAGAGACUCGUACAAGUGAAGAAGCCAAGGAAGAAUACAUAUCACGCUUCAUAGAGGGAAGCAUCGGUCGUUUAACAUGGCCUCCUGCACAGAGUUCAAAAUCGAAACUGACUGAUCAGACAUGCACAAAUUCUGAUCCACUUUCUCCUACACUGACAGCACAGCUGCCGCCAAUGGAUAUUACUCCAGAAGAGGCAACACAGCUUGGAUAUAUGCCACAGCGAGAUGAUUUUGAGAGGGAAUAUGACAAUGGAGCAGAAUCAUUGGUGUCGUCAUUGUUUGUAAACAACAUUGAAGAUGAAGAAUUGGACAUUGCACUGAAACUGGCCCAGGUUGACAUGUACACAAGACACCUUCGUGAAAGGGCGAGACGGAAGAGAUUGGUGAGAGACUAUCAGUUAGUUUCGCAGUUCUUUGCUUCCAACAGGAAAGACAGACCAGUGCAACGGAAGAAGCUUUCUAAAGAGGAAAGGGAAUUCCAGGAUCGUAUGAGGGUUUUCACUCAGUUUCAUACUGCUCAAGAACAUGAGCACUUCCUAAACAACCUUCAGAGGGAGAGAGAACUUAGACUACGCAUCAGCGAGUUGAUGAGGUAUCGACGCAAUGGCUUAACUCAGCAUGAAGAGUGCACUCAUUUUGAGCAGCAACGUCUACAGUUUGAGGAGUGGAAGGAAAAACGAUCUCAGUGGGUCCAUCCUCUCAUCGCAAUCAAGAAAAAGAGAAAGAAACGAAGACGGCUCAUCUUCUAUCGAAGAAAGGUCCACCUGCAGAAGCAGCAGAAGUCCCAGCCACGAUAGCAGUGGAGAUGGGGUGGAGACGAUGACACCAGAGGAGAUCUCCACCCUGCCAGAAUACCAUCUCCUGACACCUCAUGAAGUUAAGCUGUGUACAUCAUUGAAUAUGAAGCCUUCCCAAUACCUUACGUGGAAGACACUACUACUUCGU